CCUACGGGUGGCAGCAGUGGGGAAUAUUGGACAAUGGGCGAAAGCCUGAUCCAGCCAUGCCGCGUGUGUGAAGAAGGCCCUCGGGUUGUAAAGCACUUUCAGUGGGGAAGAAAGCCUUGGGGCUAAUACCCUCGAGGAAGGACAUCACCCACAGAAGAAGCACCGGCUAACUCCGUGCCAGCAGCCGCGGUAAUACGGAGGGUGCGAGCGUUAAUCUGAAUUACUGGGCGUAAAGCGCGCGUAGGCGGUCUGAUAAGCCGGUUGUGAAAGCCCCGGGCUCAACCUGGGAACGGCAUCCGGAACUGUCAGGCUAGAGUGCAGGAGAGGAAGGUAGAAUUCCCGGUGUAGCGGUGAAAUGCGUAGAGAUCGGGAGGAAUACCAGUGGCGAAGGCGGCCUUCUGGACUGACACUGACGCUGAGGUGCGAAAGCGUGGGUAGCAAACAGGAUUAGAUACCCCGGUAGUC
rnacentral:rRNA from 1 species